AGGUAAGUAAAAGUUCAAAGAGAGAAAGAAAAUAAUUUGUUUUGGUAAUGAUAUGUGAUAAAAAGAGACAGACGUCUUAGAUCGUUAGAAACGUUCGCUAACGUUCAAUCGAGCGUGUGUGAAGGAAUCAUGUGCGGCCCUGAAAAGGGCCUUUUUUUUAUUGAAAUCAUUCGUAUUUCAAGUAACAAGAAAUACGAAUAAUAGUAUUUAGUCGUUAGUCUAACCGCCGAAACCGUAGAGGG
rnacentral:misc_RNA from 1 species